GAAAGUCAACUCUCUUUUGUGCCAAUGUUGAUACUAAUAUGUCCACUCCGUUAACUGAUGGUACAAAAUGUAUAUUUGGCUUGAGGUUUAAUGGAGAACCUCUUUAUUUAUUAUUCAUUGAGAGUGAUGCUGACCUUCCUCACAGGUCUUUAGUUCGAGUUGACUGGAAGACAAAGAAGAUUGAGACACUUGUUGGUCUAGUUGAUAAGCCAACCAAUGAAGGAUUCACUGGUGUAUAUACAUGCAGUCUCCCUGAUCGUUGCUGGGGGGAUAAUGACAAGAUGUAUUUUCAUGAUUGUCAGAAACUAUACAAAGAGAUCAUGCGUCUAGAUGUCAACACAAAAUCAAUAUCAUGUAUCACGUCUGAUACUGAGAAAGGAGUUUAUGCUGUUUUUGAUGUAUUUGAUGGUCUGUUGCUAGGACGAUAUGCUAACCCAGCCCAACCGAUGAAAAUAUUCAUAGCUGAGCUACCUUCCAGCAAUGAUGGCUUUAAAGAUACUGAUUUUUGUGAAAUAGCAACCACUACUGUAUCCAUUUCUGACAACAUUAAAUGGGAGGUUUUAUCACUAACAAGAGAAGACUCAGGUGGUUAUCCGUAUGAGGCUCUCUUUGUAUCUCCUCGUGUUGUUGAAUCCCUUCCUCCACUGAUAGUGAGUUCUCAUGGUGGACCACACAUGUCUAGUGUUGCUGAUUUUACUGUAUGGACUGCCUGCUUUAUUGGACUUGGAUAUUCUGUUGUGUUUGGUAAUGCAUCAAAGAAAGAGAGAUGAAGAGAGGGGAAUGAAGACUAGUAAUAUUUUAUGCACUUUUGCCAAAAAAGGAUUUCAUGAAAUCAUUGUUGGGUAACGUGGGGACACUUGAUGUGAAUGAUGUGCAGGUACCUG